UAUGCUAGCCUCGAUCCCAGGCCGAGUUUUCGCUUUUAUAACGGUUAGGCGAACAACUGGGCCUGGUACUAGUUGUCUGCGCAUGCGUCAGUCGUUCGUCAGAUUCUGACGAAUGGAUAUUCUCGUUCACUUUCGUGACAUUUAUAUUCGUGUACUAUCGUGUACUAGAAGUCAGUUCCCGUUUUAUCAUUAUUGGAAUCGAUUGGAAUGGCUCUUAGCUGAAGCUUCUCUCUUCUCUGAAGCUUAUUCUGAAGACUGAACAACAAGGGAAGAGGUAUAAAGCUUUGUCAAGCUUGUUAAGGUCAGAUAUUUUUGUGUGGGCCCUAUGGCCGGCUAGGCUAUGCUAUCAAGUCUUGUUCAUGUUUGGCAAGAAUGUAGGUAGACUAUAGUUUCAUCAUUAAUAUGGUGGAUCAAGUGAAGAGUGUGAGCUAGAGAACUUGGUGCUGCCAUCAUCAGCUCGUCGACAAUGACACUAUAACCGAGAAAUUUAAUAUGUAUAGAUCUACACGUAUUUAAAAUGUCUACUUCUCUGUACAGGAGCAAUGGCUAAUAUCCAGCUAUCCCAACAGUGCUCCUCUUGGCUAUACUAACGGACGAGACUGGACAGUUUGAGACACAGGACUGGAGUAUGACCUGCUCAUUCGAGCGUUGCUGGGUAGCUCAGAGACAUCAAGAGAAUCUACGUUUUCUCAAGUAAUGAGUUACGAGUUGGGGCCUAGAAUCAGAGAAGUCCAGCAGCCUGCUAAAUCUUUUUGAAACGUAAUUUGAAGGCAUUCAAUCAUCCUGAAGUUGCCCUGGGUCACUGUAAUUGUGCUGCAGCACAACUGGCAACUCCCCAGGCCUUUGUGAAGCAGCUCCCUAUGUGCAUCUUUUGUGUACUCACUCUGUGCAUUUUCUGUGUACAAAUUUCUAUUAUUGAUUUAUUAAAUAUUUUUGCCGACCACAAA